GGGGAAGUGUCUUCGUAAUGUGCAUGCUGUUCCACGGAAACUCAUUGUUUUCUUCAGGAUUAAAGCAGUUGGAGAUUUGAUUGUUUGAAGAUAAUAUGAUGGUGGGUCGUGCGGUAAUCCCAGCUGCCCAUUGGCCUGACCCCUUGCACUUACACCCACCUCCUCCCAAACCAACACCACCCCCCCAACCCGAAAUCUUAACGAACCCGCUGAGCUGCACGACCAAAGAGCUGCUUUAAACUGGGGCCCUAAUCUAAUCUAAAGUCAUCUGAGCUAAUCCGCAGCAGCAGCGGUGGCGGUGGCGGUGGCCGCGGCGGUCGAG